AAAUUUCAUAGAAAUAAUUGUACAAGAUUUAUUAAAGUUUACCUCCAUGGUGGGGUAUAAAAAAACUCAGAGGCCUAUUAUGAGAGCAUAUGAUCUUUAAUCAUUAUGGUAAUUACAUUGGUUCUCUGUCCUUGAAAGUGUGGCAAGUAAUGGGCUAAUCAGAUUAGGUCAUUAGGUACAGACCAAUCAGAAACAAAUGCUCAUUUUUUGAAGUAUCAGUUGCUGUAAAGCUGUCUUCAUACACAGUUUACAUACUAAAGAAUUUCAGCAUUAUCAAAUAAAUGGUUUUCAAUCCAUUGACAGGAAGCCAUGUUUGUUGCAAUAUAUUGUUUGUGGUAGACACUGGGAAAAAACCGACUAUUGAAUGUGUAUUUAUUUGUCUCUUGGUACAAAAAUGAUGGAAGAGCAGCCAUGAUGAAGCAGUAAAGGUUCUUGGAUACCUUGCUUCAAUACCUCUGAUCGGACAAAAAAAGACUUGGCUAAGGAGUAGAGCUUCAAAUAAUUUAUCACCAAGAAAG